CCUACGUGCGGCAGCAGUGAGGAAUAUUGGUCAAUGGGCGCGAGCCUGAACCAGCCAAGUAGCGUGAAGGAUGACUGCCCUACGGGUUGUAAACUUCUUUUAUAAAGGAAUAAAGUGAGGCACGUGUGCCUUUUUGUAUGUACUUUAUGAAUAAGGAUCGGCUAACUCCGUGCCAGCAGCCGCGGUACUACGGAGGAUCCGAGCGUUAUCCGGAAUUAUUGGGUUUAAAGGGAGCGUAGAUGGGUUGUUAAGUCAGUUGUGAAAGUUUGCGGGUUAACCGUAAAAUUGCAAUUGAUACUGGCAGUCUUGAGUACAGGUGAGGUAGGCGGAAUUCGUGGUGUAGCGGUGAAAUGCUUAGAUAUCACGAAGAACUCCGAUUGCGAAGGCAGCUUACUAAACUGCCACUGACAUUGAUGCUCGAAAGUGUGGGUAUCAAACAGGAUUAGAUACCCCUGUAGUC
rnacentral:rRNA from 1 species